AUCACCAUUCAGGGACAUUUGAUAAAAUUGGAACAAUACAAAGAAGAUUAGCAGGGCCUUGUGCAAGGAUGACAUGCACAAAUUGAGAAAUUGUUCAAAUUUUG
rnacentral:snRNA from 2 species